CUGUUUCAGGGCGGCGAUGAAGGUAUGCCUGUACUUGGUCACUUGGGCAUACCGGAGCUAAUAGUGAACCCGACCCAUAACGAG
rnacentral:ncRNA from 2 species